ensembl:lincRNA
GAGAUGUCAUUCACAGGGACCUCAUGUGACUCUCUGGCAUGCACAUUGUGUAACGCUGGCCCUUAGCAGAGAGCCUACAGGAGCGAACGCACUUUGCUUUCUGUUCUGCAGCUGCUGUAUUGCAACUGAAGCACUCAUCAGUCAAGUCGACAGUAAGUGGCUUCUUGUAUAAAUACUUGCAGAAUUGUGACUUUGCAAGGGUCUCUGAAAAGCAUUCUGUUCCUCAGAAGUUCUUUGAAGUUUCCUUUUGGCUCCAUCAACUGUGUACAGAUAGGUCCGGAGAUGGAAAUUGUUCUGUGCGAAUUAGCUUCACCAGCACAAAGUUAGGAUGAAAGAUAAUGCUCAAAAUCCACUGCUGCAGCAGCCCCCAGAGGGCUCAUCAUCAGGGGUUUGGAAGGCAAGAGUGGCAGAAUCUUUAUGUUAUCAAGCAUCUACAAUGCACCAGUUUUAUACAGCAAUACAAAUUUUUGUAUCCUUGUGGAGUAAGCCUCAGGGACUUGGGUUCUCUUCUUGCUUUGCUAGUAAUUGGUUGAGAGUGGACUAG